GAAGUUUCUUGUUAUGUGGGCUUCAUCAUGGGGUUGUAAGUUCCACGAGGGCAGGGACCAAGUCUGUUUCACUAUGUGGUGUGUAUCUAGAGCCACACAGUGUGCUCAAAACGCACUAGGUACUUAACAAAUCAUCACUGAAGGGAUGAACGACAGAAUCAGAUGGAAAUAGCCUACUGGAGAGGAAUAAACAUGGCCAUUCUUGAUAGACAUGUUGACUGAUGGACUGAGAGAUAUAGAUACAUGCCAUGAGAUCUCUUUAUAAGUGGUCUUAUGGAUAUCUGCAUGACCUCUGCUGAAGUAAAAUACUGUGGUUCGUGAGAAGACGUGACCUUUGGAUACAGCUGGUCUAGUCCUGGCUCUGCUGUGUCAGUGAAAGUGGAACAGUUACAUGGCUCUCCCGAAUCUCUGUUUUCACUUGGUUAAAUGAGGGUUACAUGUACUUACUUCCAGUGUUGUUAUGAGAAUUAAAUGAGAUUAAAUGUUAAAAUUUGUGAGUGGUCAAUAUAUGUACUUCUUUUCUCCUCCUCAGUCUCUUAAGAAUAUUCUACACCAGUAUUGCAGAAUAAAGAAACAUGGAUAUGUUAAUUUGUUUGAUAUAAUCAUUCCACAAUGUAUACAUAUAUCAGGUGGGGAGCAGUGGCUCAUGCCUGUAAUCCCAGCACUUUGGGAGACCGAGGCGGGCAGAUCACUUGAGGCCAGAAGUUCGAGACCAGCCUGUCAACAUGGCGAAAACCUG
rnacentral:lncRNA from 1 species